rnacentral:lncRNA from 1 species
CUCCUCUCCCUUGCUCCUCUCUCUCACACACACUCUUCUCUCUGGGAAGGCCGGCCGGCGGUGGGGAGGAGGUCGCCGGGCGAGGAGGUCCGACGGCCGGCCGGCGAUGCGGCGGCGGCGGCAGGCGUGCGCGCCUCCUCCUCCCCGGUUACUCCCACGACGCCGACUACCUCACCGCCCUUCCCAAUCCCUAUCUCAUCGCCGAUGCCGUCCGCCGGGCCCCGCCACCUUCCUCCGCCCUGCAGCCUCGCCACCCUCACUCUGCCCGACGCGGUGGAGCUGGUCUGCGUGCUGAAGCAGGUGGAGGAGAGGCGGCUGCCCGACACGGUGGAGCUGGUCUCCCUGAGCUCCCAUCUGAACCUGACACCGAAAUGGCAUCAAAGCUGUUGGAAUUGUGAAGGUGAUCGACAGGCCGUCAGGCCCACGCAUGUUUCUUCUCGCUGUAAACCUCAUCCCAGGAGGUUUGUUUGUCACCAAUCUAUCCUGUAAAAGAGAUCACCACAAAAACAGAGGAAAGUCAGAUCCUACAUCCAUUGUUCAGUUCCAUAAUCUCACCCUUAUCAAGCAAAAAUGAAACAAUAUGAUUCAGGUUCAGCAAGAGAAAUUCUGAUCCCAAACAGUUCAGCACAAAAAAUUCUUAUCUCAAACAAAAAAUAUCACACAGCAACACAAAAAAAUUGAUACAGUACGAUUCAAGUUCAGCAAGAGAAAUUCUGAUCUCGAACAGUUCAGCAUGGCAAUUGCUGAUCUAAAAAAAAACAUGAUACAGCAACAAAAACUUCCCAAAUGAUCAAUCACAAAAAUGUAAGCUCCCUUUCCCCUAUAUUUCUUUAGCAAUCUUCUUUGCAUGCCAAAAGCCUUCUUUCUUAUCCAUCACCAAAACGAAACAAAGCAAUGCAAUGAUGAUGCACUGAAAAGAAAAAGCUCUCAACAACCCGGAGCAGGUGCUGCGCAGGAUGGAGCAGGAGAGGCGGCUCGUGCGGAUGGGCACCGCCGGGAGCGUGUCCAUCCGCGUCCUCACCAGCGGCGGUGGCGGCGAGGCCGUCUCCUUCCUCUUCAACGGUGCCUCGAUGGCCUCCUCGGGAGCCGCCGUCGCCGGCCGCACCACCCUCCGGGCGUGCGCGCCGCCGUGGGGGAAGCCGACGAAUGCGGCGGCGGAAGGAGGAUGAGGACGGGAGCUAUUGUCACUCCUUGCUACGAUGAGGACGGCCUCGAGUCCGCCGAGAGCGGCGGCAAGGCUCGAGAGUCCACCUCUGCGCCCGGCCCGCCGCCGCCUCGUCGCCAUACCACCCUGCCGCUCGUCGCCGGCUGCCCAGCUCCUCUCCCGCCUCCCGCGCGCUGCUCCUCCCCUGUCGCCCGCCGCCGCAUUCCCACCUUCCGUCGUCAUCUUCACCACCGGCGGUGAAGCACCAUCAGACGCCGCCACAUCUCCGGCGCCCGUCGCCUCCUCCAUCCCUCCCAACUCGCUUGAGCGGACACGAGCAGCCGCAGGAGCUCCUCCAGCUCCGGCCACCGGCGUGGUGCUCGUGCUCCGCCGCGGCACUCUCGCCGGAAAAAGAACGAAGAGAAGAGAGAGAGAGGAGGAACCGAGGAAGAGGAGAGGGAGGGGAGAGAUGACAUGGCAUAUAUGUGGGGGUCCCACGCUGACUCAACUGUCACAUAGGACAAAACCAAGAUCAAAACCAUAGAGGAUCUAUUGUGAACGGGUUUUGAUUAGUUAAGAGACCCCAAAUAUUUUUUCAGUUGAGGUACGAUUUUGUAACUCGAUGACAAGUUGAGGGACCUUUGGUGUACUUUUUCCUAGCCAAAAGGCCUCGGCCCAUGUAUUAAGGUGACGGCCCACUUGUGCCGUCCUCGAAGACGGCCGACAGACCAACAUUCAUUUACAGCCCAAAAAUUACGAAAACCUAGCUGCAUCGCAUCUUCUUCUCCUUUCCCCAGGCGGAGCACCGUCCGAUGAGCAUCCAACGGCUACGGUCAGCACCCUCGGAACCUUCGAGAACACCCUCCCCGCUAUAAAUUCCCGCCUUUCCGGUAGCAUCUAGUCUUCCUCUCCCACUCUUCCUCCUCCCCAAACCCUAGCCGCCGCCGCCGGCGUACUCGAGAGAAACAUCAGCAUCCAUGGCGGGCAAGGGCGAGGGUCCGGCCAUCGGCAUCGACCUUGGCACGACCUACUCGUGCGUGGGCGUUUGGCAGCACGACCGCGUGGAGAUCAUCGCCAACGACCAGGGCAACCGCACCACCCCCUCCUACGUCGGCUUCACCGACUCCGAGAGGCUCAUCGGAGAUGCUGCCAAGAACCAGGUCGCCAUGAACCCCAUCAACACCGUCUUUGGUAACUACUUAUUCCCUGCUCCUCAGUCCUCUCUCUUUCUCUCUCUCCCCCCUUAGAUCUCAUCUCUAAGGUCUUCGUCGUCGUCGUAUGCUAGAUCUACUCUUGCCCAGCUCGUUCAGAUCUGUUAGAUUUGUGUGGGAUGCUCUAAUUAAUUACUACCAACUUAGUAGAUCUGGAACUCUUUUGACUUGCAGAUCUUGCUCCACUCCUGUUGCAUUUUGAAUCUGUGUUGAUGUGAUUUAAGUUGUUGGCAGUGCUUUUUGCAUACUAUUUGAAUUUGUGGAUGGUUAGCAGUCAGUACACUAGGAUUUAUUACUGGAUCUGGACAGAUAUGCUCGUUUCAAUCGGCUCGAUUUGCUAUGUUGAUAGCUAACAUGUUGUGCUUGUCCUACUGCCCUGGCGCAAAUUUGAUCCAUGCAUUCUUUUCGUUAAAUGAUUUGUCAAGUAGUAAUGCUUGUUUGAAAAUGAUAUUAUUAUUAUUAUUAUUAUUUUAAAUAAAUAUAGCCUGAAACAUUCUUAGUUUCGAGGAGAAGUGAUGAUGUCUUAUCCAUACCACAUGUCUGCAUCUCAUAUGAUGAUUAAUCUACAUCAUGCACUACCAUCUGAUCUCCUCUAGCUCAUACAGCUUUUAACAAGUUAGGCGAUAGAUGUUUGCUACAAACAGUCAACUGGAUUUGCUUUCUUGAAAGAAAAAAAAUGAACCGUGUAGUUUGCAACCUGUGAUGUAAAUUAACCCAUUUACUGAACUACAUUGAUUAUUUCAGUAAAAUCACCAUCUUUCGGCUGAGGUUGCAUGCUUAGUUAUUAUAUUUUUACCAAUGAUGAUUUUGUUAUGUAGCCAGAUACUGUACUUUCUUAUGCCAUUUGGUAUCUGACUCAUUGUCUACUUUUGUGACUAUGUGUCUCGAAAUAUGGCAUAUAAUAAGGGGGAACGGAUCUUGCGACAUUGAUGGCUCCUGUAUGAGCCUCCAAUUACUAUAUAGCCGUUUACAUGUUCUUAUCAUGUUACUUUUCCAAAUUAGUGCUGCACAUCUUGUCUGUUUGCAAGUUUGGGUUCAUUCAUAUUGCUGUGGGCAUUUUAAUACAUCUUAACUAUAAUGUAAAUUUCUUGUACAUCGCUAAAAUUUUCUGCCUUGAUUGAGUAGACUCUUAGAUGACAUCUAUCUUACCUUAUGCACUUGAUUCGUAUUUCUGUUACAACAUUUUGAUUACUUGAUGUAGUUCACACAAGCAUGACACAUCUCUUUGAAAAAAAGAUUUCAUUUUUUAAAGCAAGCCUAAUGCUUUAGGGUGGGAGAAGUGAUGAUACUUAAUCCAUACAACAUUUCUGCAUCUCAGAUGAUGAUCAAUCUACAUCAUGCACUACCAUCUGAUCUCCCCAUCAUACAAUUUUUUAUUUUGUUUUGUUGGAUUAUAUAACUUUAACAUUUGAUAAAGUGCCAACAGAUUUUUAUACACAAUUUCUUAUAGAUAUUACCAUGACAGCUUGCAGCCUGUGAUGCAAAAGUACCCAUUAAACUGAAUUACACUGAUUAUUCCAAACAAAUCACCAUCUUUCGGCUGAGGUUGCUUGCUUGUUUAAAAUUAUGAAUGCUUCUUGCACAACCAUUUAGGACUUUCGGUAGUUUGUAAUGCCAUUUGGUAUCUGACACAUGGUCUGCGCUUGUGACUAUUUGUCUUGAAAUAUGGCAUAAAACAAGGGGGAACGGAUCUUGCGACAUUGGUGGUUCCUCUAUGAUCCUCCAAUUACUAUAUAGCUGUUUACAAUUUGUUAAGUUAGGAGCAUACCUUUUGCUUUGUCAUCAAAGUCUUGGUUCCUUUGUAUUUCUAGUUCAGAUUCAUUUUUCUUCAGCUUUUGAAACAUAAACUCAGUAUAUUUUUACUGUAAUUGCUGACAUUGAGUCUUCUCUGCAGAUGCCAAGCGUCUCAUUGGCAGGAGGUUUAGCGAUGCUUCUGUUCAGAGUGACAUUAAGCUCUGGCCCUUCAAGGUGAUUGCUGGACCUGGUGACAAGCCUAUGAUUGUUGUCCAGUACAAGGGUGAGGAGAAGCAGUUUGCUGCAGAAGAGAUCUCCUCCAUGGUCCUCAUCAAGAUGCGUGAGAUUGCUGAGGCCUACCUUGGCACCACCAUCAAGAAUGCCGUUGUCACUGUUCCUGCCUACUUCAAUGACUCCCAGAGGCAGGCCACCAAGGAUGCUGGAGUGAUUGCUGGUCUCAAUGUCAUGCGUAUCAUCAACGAGCCGACUGCUGCAGCUAUUGCCUAUGGUCUUGAUAAGAAGGCCACCAGCGUUGGUGAGAAGAAUGUCCUCAUCUUUGACCUUGGAGGUGGUACCUUUGAUGUCUCCCUCCUUACCAUUGAGGAGGGUAUCUUUGAGGUCAAGGCCACAGCUGGUGACACCCAUCUUGGUGGUGAAGAUUUUGACAAUCGUAUGGUCAACCACUUUGUGCAAGAAUUCAAGAGGAAGAACAAGAAGGAUAUCACUGGCAACCCCAGGGCUCUCAGGAGGUUGAGGACAGCUUGUGAGAGGGCAAAGAGGACCCUGUCCUCCACUGCCCAGACCACCAUUGAGAUCGAUUCCCUGUAUGAGGGCAUCGACUUCUACUCAACCAUCACCCGUGCCAGGUUUGAGGAGCUCAACAUGGAUCUCUUCAGGAAGUGUAUGGAGCCUGUGGAGAAGUGCCUCAGGGAUGCUAAGAUGGACAAGAGCUCUGUUCAUGAUGUUGUCCUUGUUGGUGGCUCCACUAGGAUCCCGAGGGUGCAGCAGCUCCUGCAGGAUUUCUUCAACGGCAAGGAGCUUUGCAAGAACAUCAACCCAGAUGAGGCUGUUGCUUAUGGUGCUGCUGUCCAGGCUGCCAUCUUGAGUGGUGAGGGCAACGAGAAGGUCCAGGACCUCCUCCUGUUGGAUGUUACCCCUCUCUCUCUCGGUUUGGAGACUGCUGGUGGUGUCAUGACCGUUUUGAUCCCAAGGAACACCACCAUUCCCACCAAGAAGGAGCAGGUCUUCUCCACCUACUCCGACAACCAGCCUGGUGUGCUCAUCCAGGUUUAUGAGGGUGAGAGGACCAGGACACGUGACAACAACCUGCUGGGGAAGUUUGAGCUCUCUGGAAUCCCUCCUGCUCCCAGGGGUGUUCCACAGAUCACUGUUUGCUUCGACAUUGAUGCCAAUGGUAUCCUGAACGUGUCUGCUGAGGACAAGACCACCGGGCAGAAGAACAAGAUCACCAUUACCAACGACAAGGGCAGGCUUAGCAAGGAGGAGAUUGAGAAGAUGGUCCAGGAGGCCGAGAAGUACAAGUCAGAGGAUGAGGAGCACAAGAAGAAGGUGGAGUCCAAGAACGCGCUGGAGAACUACGCCUACAACAUGCGCAACACCAUCAAGGAUGAGAAGAUCGCCUCGAAGCUCCCGGCAGCGGACAAGAAGAAGAUCGAGGAUGCCAUCGACCAGGCCAUCCAGUGGCUGGACGGCAACCAGCUCGCUGAGGCUGAUGAGUUCGAUGACAAGAUGAAGGAGCUGGAGGGCAUCUGCAACCCCAUCAUCGCCAAGAUGUACCAGGGCGCUGGCGCGGACAUGGCCGGCGGCAUGGACGAGGACGAUGCUCCCCCGGCUGGCGGCAGCGGUGCUGGCCCCAAGAUCGAGGAGGUCGACUAAGCGCGAAAUUUGCUAGUGAUCCGCGCUUCAAGUUAUCUUAUUGCAUUAUUAGUGUCUCUUUUAUGUUGUGUUAAAAAACUUUGCUGCUAUGACUUAUGAUGAUACCCUUGGUCUGUUUGGGCAGUCCUUUUGAAUUGAAGAACUGCGUUGGGAGCUCUAUGAGAACUAUGAAUUGCGUGAGAAAUUUAAUUAUUGUGGUGCUUGCAGCGCCUAUUAUUUGGUCUCUGUCCCACGUUUAUUAUUUGCAUGUGCGCAUUGUUUGCUAGCAAUUGCUGUUGUGCUUCUCAGCCAACAUGUAAACUGUUUGGAUUGUUUCUGAUUUUUGGAUGCAUUUUUUAAAGCGGAUAGUGAAGGACGGAUAGUAUGGGAUACGGAAGCAAAUAUGGAUGAUUUUUUUUAAACGAGAAUGAAUAUCCGUCGGAUAUCGGGAACGUCCUCUGGAUAUGCGGCAUAUGCGGCCAGACCUUCCAGCAAUGAUCUUUGAUGUAGUUUCAAGUUGUGAAGAGUUUUAUGGAUGCGAAGGCGAUUUCAGGAUUAAAAAAAAAAGGUUAUUCGUUGUGCACAAGUUGUUCUGUGUGCAUAAGUGUUAUUCACAGCAUUAACAGAUGACCCUUUGAUAAGUUGUCGUGAGCUGCAGUUUUGUCGCAUCAGUAUGCAUUUGCUUCAACUGAGGUGAAACUAAAGCUCUGUCAACUUUUAUGAUACUGUGAGGAAUUAAAUUAUUUCCACGUCGUCUGUUAUUUUGUGCUGCUUCUCUCUUGGACGUGCAUCUAACUGUGCAUUAGCAACUGAUUAGUAGCAACUGUAUUGGUCUCGAGUACUUUUUGGAGGAUAUCUAGCUAUCGUUUGUAUGAUCUUUAGCCUAGUCAAUCCCCGGUAUGAAGAUUGUAUCUCCCUUCGUUUUUCCAUGAGACGAACUGACAUUUCCUUGUUUGAAUCUGCAAGAGUGCUAGUCACAGGCUCAUGCCCCCCCUCCCCCCCCCCCCCCCCCCUAUCUCUCUCUCUGCUUUUUUCUUUUUCUGAACCAAAAAAAAAAGAAGAAGUUAGUAGAGCAAACUGCUGGUAUUUCACGAUGGGCCAGUUCGGAGUUUGGAAGGCCCAUACAUCGAUUCAUUAGGGCAGCACAGCACAACACAACCGUGUUCCCCCAAAUUGAGGCGGGAAGCAGUCCACCUCUCGCGCCUUUUUCUCUUCCCGGCCCCAAUUCCAACAGGUCAAAGUCAAACCCACUCCCUCCCUUGGAGAACCAACCCACCGCACCCACUCUCGCUGCCGGCGAUGCCUCCUAAGCGCAAGUCCCCGGCGGCCACCGCGGCGGUCGG